GUAAAUAAAAAAAAAAACAAAAGAUGGAUGCAACGAAAGUAACGGUAUGAAGGCUAUAACAUGUCAGAUUACGAGGCUGGAAU